UUCAACGAAAUGCAAGGGGCCCAUAUAGCUAGAUUUUAGAUUAUAAGUGAGGUAGUGGUGAGAGCUGAUGCUGGAAUUUAGUUGGGGAUUAACUGUAGAAAUGUUUUAUUAAAGGAGUUUGGAUUUAAUUGUGAAAAGAAUGGCAGAACCAUUCUUUUCACAAUACUGUUUCUAGUUAUCAUUGCAGAAAUAAUCCUCUAGUGACAAUGGGUAAAAAACAAGGCUUUCAAUAAACUCUGUCUUCAGAGGAGGAAGAAAUAGUGUUCAGGUUUACAAUAUGUGAAAGUAUUUACAUGAGCAUAAUAUAUGUGUUUGGAGAAGGCGUUUUCUGUGGUGCUGUGGUAUAAAAAAUAAGUAAGUCUUCACAUACCCAGAAUAUAAAGUUCAGAGAGCUCUUAACUGAAGUGGAGACUCAGAAAGAUUAUUAUUGAAUUUAUUGCAUGAUGUUUAGCCUUUGUUCUCACCUAUAAUGAUGUACUUUGUAAAUGAGAACAGGCACAGGAGAGUUAGAAAUGAGGAUCUCAAGGAGGAUAAUUCAGGGAUGGAAUGGAUGGUGUUUAGUGUCAUUAGAUGUAGUUGGUGAGGAAGAAGAAAGGAGAUUUUUUGUUUGUGUUUUUGAUGAGCUAAUGGUAUCAUAAAAAUAGUGUAUAUAAGAGAAAGAGAGAACGAUCAUUUCAAGUUUGUAGAUAUUGAAUUU
rnacentral:lncRNA from 1 species